rnacentral:lncRNA from 1 species
CUUUUGCAUUAGAAGUUUGUUGAUUAGUUUUUAUUUUUGAAAUGCAAAUACUGAACUUUAAAAAUAUUGUUUAUUUCAUGUAUUGGUCAUUUAAAUAUUUAAUUGGGAGUGGUCAUUAUUAAUUGUUUUAGGAAAGUUUUUUUUUCUUUUACCUAUAUACAUGUCCUGUUUUAACUCCUUCCUUUUAUCACCUGACUAUCAGGGAAGCGAGGUUGAGGCUGCCCUGACCUGACAUGUCAUGAUGUCGACUUG